rnacentral:rRNA from 1 species
CCUACGGGAGGCAGCAGUGAGGAAUAUUGGUCAAUGGGCGAGAGCCUGAACCAGCCAAGUCGCGUGAGGGAAGACGGUCCUACGGAUUGUAAACCUCUUUUGUCAGGGAGCAAGGAGCGCCACGAGUGGUGCGGCGAGAGUACCUGAAGAAAAAGCAUCGGCUAACUCCGUGCCAGCAGCCGCGGUAAUACGGAGGAUGCGAGCGUUGUCCGGAUUUAUUGGGUUUAAAGGGUGCGCAGGCGGAAGCGGCAAGUCAGCGGUGAAAUUGCGGGGCUCAACUUCUGUACGGCACUGGAUACUUGCGAGCUAGAGUGCGGUAGAGGUAAAGGGAAUUCCUGGUGUAGCGGUGAAAUGCUUAGAUAUCAGGAGGAACGUCGGUGGCGUAAGCGCUUUACUGGGCCGUAAUUGACGCUGAGAAACGAAAGCCAGGGUAGCAAAUGGGAUUAGAUACCCCGGUAGUC